rnacentral:tRNA from 1 species
GGUGGCUCAGUGGUAGAGUGCUUGCCUUGCAUGCAUGAGGCUCUGGGUUUGAUCCCUCAGCACCA